UAAGUUGGUAGUGAAAGCGUGGGGCUCAACCCCAUACCCAUUACCAAAACUACUUUGACUAGAGCAUGAGAGAGGUAGCUGGAAUUCCUAGUGUAGGAGUGAAAUCCGUAGAUAUUAGGAGGAACAUCGAUGGCGUAGGCAGGCUACUGGCUCAUUGCUGACGCUCAGGCACGAAAGCGUGGGGAGCGACCGGGAUUAGAUACCCCGUUAGUCCACGCCGUAAACGAUGGAUGCUA
rnacentral:rRNA from 1 species